rnacentral:tRNA from 1 species
UGGCCCCUCGUCUAAUGGUAGGACAGUAGACUCUGAAUCUAUACGUCGAGGUUCGACUCCUCGGGGGCCAGCCA